rnacentral:tRNA from 1 species
GGAUUGUGGCUCAGCGGUAGAGCACUUGCCUAGCACACACAGGGGGCCCUGGGUUCAAUAAUCAGCACCA